AAAAAAAUGAAGUGACAUUUAUAAACAUUUCCGUGUUUUGCAAUUCCGUUUCUUUAAAAAAUUUAAAUGAUUGAUAAUUUAUCGCCCUUUGAAUCGACACACCAUUUGUAAACAUCGAAGGUCGCGGAGAAAAUGAAACUACCAAAACCAAUUGUUUGAUGAUUUAUUUCGAUUGUAUACAGAAUGACAGUUUGUGAAUCUCAAGAUCAACCACUGGGGAUUGUUUGGCUUGAUGCAAUGACCUUAAACAGUGAAAUGAUUUUCCAGGAAGGUCUAUACACAACAAGCUGGAUUUUAUGGGGUGAUGAAAGAACUAUGAAUAUGCAAAUGGGAAUGAAACAGAAGGACUUAAUAUGUUCUACUGAUCAUCCAGCUGAAAUCAUGCCUGUGGAAUAGAGUACAUGUCACAUAUACUGAUAUGAGCAAAUAACACCAUAUUGUACAAAUAAUGUCAUGUUUCCUGCCCUCAUGACCAGAAAAAGUUAAAAAUUCUAGUUCAAAUUACAAAUGUGUUUCAAGAAAAAGUAAAACUUAGUCAACUAUGAGAAAUAUUGGGUAAAAGUAGUGUUUUAAUGUCAUGACAGCUGUGAAGUUGUUUGAGAAGCACUAUCCUAAUUGUUCUAACAAUACAGAAUUUAACUUAUAAAUUUUCCAAAACUGCAUGCAUGAAAUACUAAAACAUGUCUGUUGAAUGAAUCCUAGUUGUUUCAAAACUACAACAUGUGUGACAUUAAAGCACAACCUUUGUAGGAAACAUUUUUACAAUAAAAACUGCCUUGCCAGUGUGAGUGUAGGAAGGAUUUUUCCAGAAAUGGCAGAAAACUACUAAUAUAGCAGAAAAUAUUUGUUACUGGCUGAAUAUAAUAUAUUUUAUUUCAAGACUUAAUCAUGUUAAUCCAUGGUUAUAAUUGUGUUAAAAGAUAUUUUUACAUGACAUGACCUUUGCAGAAAUAGCUAUUUUUUUUGCAAAACAUUAUGAGUUGCCAUGGUAACACAAAUUUGACUUAAAUUUAGAUUUGUUUGAUUAUGUAAAUAGCAUGUGUCUUGUUUAUAUUCUGCUAAUCAGACUAUGUUCUGCAAGAAAAUAUCUUUUGUGUGUAACCAUCAACAAAACAUGUCAUAACACAAAUCUGCCAUAAAAUGGCAGAGCUGUAAUGCAGGUAGGCAUAUCAGGAAAAUAUGUAGUUCUGAAAGACAAGUUAUAUUACAUAAAAUGAUGUUUGUUUUUUAUAAAUGAUCAUAAUUGACCAUUUGUGGUGUAAAACAAAUGUAUACUGAACAGAUGCUAAAUGAAUGUUCUGAUUCUUUCUGGAAAAUUUACAAAAAACUACUAUUUUAAGAAAAUAGUGUAUUGUUGCCAUGGUAACAUUAAUUUUACUUUUAAAUUAUUUUGGAUAUCAUCAUAUGUAAACAACAUCUUUCUUGUUUAUAUGUUAUAUAUGUUAAGCUGUAUUAUGUUAGUGAAUAUAUUUUAAUAUGUUAUAAUUGCAUCAACAAAGCACUAUGUUAUUACACAAGCCUGCCUUAAAAUGGCAAUAGUUGUAACUGAGAGAGGUGUAUCUGAAAAUUAUGCAUUUCUCAAACCAUAUUACAUUAAUUUUCACGGACUGAUGUCUACUCUCUUACUUUUAAAUAAGAAAACAGACAGCUUUUGAUGUAAAUAUAUGGAAAAACACUUCCAAUAUUCAAUUUAUUACAAAGAAAUUGCCAAAAAUGUUAGUAUUUUUGUAAGAAAAUACCACAUUGUUGCCAUGGUAAUGAUUCACUGAUAAGUAUAUCUAAGUCUUUUGAAAUUUUAGCAAACUCACAGUUGAUAAUAACAGUCUAAUAAUUAUAUCUUCUUGCCUGAUUUUCUUUCUUACUGUUUUUAAAUAGAUAAGGUGUCUAUAAUAAUAAGAUCAAUGUCCUAGUUUUUGGGAUGUUGUCUAAUUUGAUAUCAAAUAAAUUCUGUAUCUUGUUCAAAAGAAGGUCAUAAAACAGUUGCCUGUAAACUGUUAGCACACUAGAAAAAGUUAAUUGUGUAUUUAUUUCACAUUCUAUGUAAUUUAUUGGUAGAUUCAUCAAGAGACUGUUAAAAAAGAGGUUAAACAACAGUGUUGCUAUAGAAACGAUUUUUAGAACAUAAAUAUUUUUGUACUACAUGAAAGAAAGAGACAAAAAGAAAUACAUUCCAUUAAUUGCAUGUUGCUUUUGUUAUUUUAUCAUGUAUUUUAUCUUGAUAUUGUUUAAAUAUGGUGUCAUAAUUAAGAUAUACUGCCUCAAUUUUGAUACAGUUAGACAAAAACAUGGUGUCCGAAAAGUGGUAAUAUCUCCAUGACAACGACUGAUUUUUGUUGUCAAAUUGAAGAUUUUUACUCAGGACGGGUCAGUCUGUCAGAUUAGCCCAAAACCCAAUUUUUGACCAAAAUUGCAUUUGGACCCAAAAUCUCAUGCUCUGUCACAUAUGUUGAAAACAUAAUAUGAAGAAUAGGCUGAAAAUUGAUAAGUCAGUAAAGGAGUUAGACACUUAGUGGUACAAUAAAACAUUUGAAUAUAGUUCCGGGUAGUAUAUGAACAAGUUUUGACCAGAAUAUUGUGUGAAGUGAUGAAAGUACAGUGAUUGUGAUGUGAUAUUUUGCAUAAUCAGUCGCAACUAAAGUGAACACAAACAAGCGUAAUAAAGAAAACGUGUAUAACAGUAUAGUGAUCGGUUGGUUUGGUUAAAUUUAAAGUGACUUUGUGAAAGGUUGUUAUGAACUUAGAAUAUAUAAGAGAUGGCUGAAUAUAUUUCACCGUAUGAUUUACGCAGACUUACUUUAAAAAGAAGAAGGAAACAAGCACUUCUAGAAGAAGCCAUUGAAAAGGAGGAAGAAGUAAAGGAAAGAGAGAGAAUGCUUAAACAAGAGAUGUUGAAAAAUCCACAUAUGCAAAGAGAAUUGUUAAUACAACGAAGGAGAGACUUGCAAGUCGACAGAGAAGAUAAAGAGGAUAUGAACACAAAUGAUAUAGAAAGUAUAUAUGCGUAUUGGAACGAACACGAUUUACCCUUGGAUGAAUAAGUAACUCUAGAUGAGUUAGGAUUUGAAGAGGAAGAAGCACUUUGUAACUCAACAUACGAAGAAGCAAGUAUUGCGAACAGUCUUUCAGGUGUAGAAAUCUCACAGAAAGAAAUCAAUUUGUCAGGCGAAAUUGAAAGACUUAAUAUAAUGUUAGAGUCCUUCAGACAUGAGGAUUGUUUUGUAAAUGAUAAUGAUAAACAUACCGAUUCAAGAGACUUUACUGUACACAAAGAAAGAUCUACCAAUGAAAACGGAGAUACUUUCAUAGUAUACCCUGAACAAAACCAUUAUCAGUAUACCGAAGCUGAAACAAACAUACAUGUUGAAAAAGAUCAAGUAUCGAAUGAAACUGUAUCAAACAGCAUAAGCCAUAGAAUGACUCAAAAACCAGAAAAUCCUGUAAUAGAUAGAGAUAUUGUAAACGACAAUGUACAGACAGGAUACAGUAGAAAACAACAGAGGAUAGAAUAGAAGAAGAUAUUGCGAAUCUAGAAGAAGAAAUAGCGAUAGAAAUGUCCGCAAAGAGACAAGAUAUAGAAAUAAAUCAAUACUCGAAAGCAACAAAAGUGAAUUACACACAGGCUGAACUGUUGGAGAGAUGGAAAGAGUUAGGAAAAGAAUUAAAGGAAGUAAAUAGUAGACAGUUGACAAGAGGAGAAGAGAAUAAAGGAAGAGGACAUGUUGAAAGGUUUCAGACAGAAAUAAAGACUGAUAUAACUACAAACGUACGUUCACAGCUAUCGAGUCAUAAAACAUAAACAAAGAGUAGAUGAGAGUGUUUUCAAACGAGUAAAAGAAAUAGAUAGAGACUUGUUAGAGAAACAGAACAGCGGGACAAAACAUAGUGUUAGAGUAAAAACAGAACCGAACAAAUUAGAGGAGUUACAGAAACAAAAAGACGAAAUAGAUAGACAGUUAAGGGAAGAAACGUUAGAAAGAGAUAGAAUCUUAUUGAAGGGAAAAACGGAAUGGGAAGAGAAAAUACGACAAGUAUUGAAGAACUAUAAAGAAAAGAAAGAGAGAGAACAGAUAGAACAGGAGAAGAAGAGAGAAAGACAGAGACAAGAAGAAAGAGAAAUUAUGGCUCGUAUUGAAAGA